rnacentral:misc_RNA from 1 species
AGUGGAUCUUUAGAUUUCACAGGUAAUAUUAAUUGAUCAAUGAAAUUGUAACAUCAAUUUGGAGUCUGCAGUUUUAACUUUAUGGUAUCAUAUAAACCUCCCCAGAAUUUUGUUUUUGGAAUGAGCAUUGUAAAUCUCAAUGUUAUAUUGCAAGAUAGACAGUAUCAACAACUCUUCCCUGAUGAACAAACUGUUUCUUGUUGGGAUGAGAUGACUACUUUUAUUGUAUGCAUAUAUUACAUGGCUGUCAGUGUUAUUGUAUCAUCAUUUUUAUUUUUAUUUUUGCAGAUAUUAUUUUGUAGCUCUGCAUAUAUGCAUUGAAUUUGUAUCAUCUGAAUAAAGUAUAAUACAUGUACAGAUUCUUGAUUUAAUCUUAGCAGCUAGAUUUCCUGAUUCACAUAGGCAUAU